rnacentral:lncRNA from 1 species
AUUUUAUUCCAAGACUUCCUCCCAAAUCUGCAAGUGAGCAGAUGUGUUUGUGCAAAUUUUACAGAGAAUUUGUGUGGUUUUUACUUUACUGAGACUUGCAGACAGCCUCUGACUUAAUGACAGACUUUGUAUUUGAGCACCAUUAACUUCACAACCCAGAAGGCCACAUGACCUUUAAUGAUCAGUACUUUCUAGAUUAUAAUUGUGUCCAAUAUGUCUCUCCGUGCUAAACUUAAGCGGUAAAAGAACAGUAAUGACUGUGGUGACACAUACCUGUAAUGUCUGGGGAGUCAGAGAAUAAAGGGUGAGAAAUUCCAGACCAUUCUUGGUUACAUAGUGAGUUGGUGGCCAGUGUGUGAUACUUAAUGCCUUAUCACAAAAUAAAAAAGAAAGAAAGGAAGGAAAAAAAAGAAAAGAAAAGAAAAGAAGAAAAGAAAGGGAAAGAAAAGAAAAGAAAAGAAAAGAAAAGGAGAAGAGAAUAAAGGAAGGCAUAGCCUAGGAAAUCAUGCUCAAAUCACUAUUGACUUGUCCAUGAAGUCAUACUGCACUCAAGUAGUAUGACUGAUUUUCAACACGAAAAACAAAUGCCCUUCUGUGUAUUGGUAUUUUAGUCAAAAGAGAAAAGACAUCAUAACGAUGCUAAAUUAGAACCCCUGAAAACACAUAUCCUUAGUGUUCCAAGUUUAUGUGCAUUGUUAUGAUAAACACAGCAAUACCACCAGGCAGGUGCUAGUAGUAUUCCAGUUUUGCAGAAGUGGAAUGUGAGGUUAGUGGCUUCGGCACCAAAUGACAUGGGUGGGCUUAUUUCCUUGAGAGCUAUAGUGGGGGAUGUGGAAAAAAACUGAUCAAUAGAAGUUCGGCUCUUAUGAAUGUGUCUUAAUUUCUUGUUGCUGUGACAAAAUACUGUCGCAGAAGUAGCAUAAGCGAGAAGAGGUUUACUUUUGCUUACAGUCCCUGAAUACAGUCCACAGAGGUAGAAAGUCACAAAGGCAGCAGUUUGGGGGAACUAGGCCUAGUGCAUCUCCAGUUAGGAAGCAAAGAGGGGAAGGCAUGCAGAACUUGCUUAGUUAUUUCCAGAAUCCCCAGCUAGGGAGUAGUGACUUCUACCACCCCUAGCCAAGACAAGUUCUCAGACAAGCACUAGCUUUUCAUCCAGAGAACCUCCGUUUAGAAAGUUCACAACUACUUGUAAUUCCAGCUCCAGGAUAUCCAAUGCUUUCUUCUGAUGUCCCCAGGGACCCUCCCACACCCCAUUCUUUCACACACACACCCCUCCAACACACACAGGGGAAGGAGGAGGAGGGAGAGAGAGAUAGACAGAUAAAGUCACAGUAAAAAUAAAAGAAAAAAACUAACAAGUAUAGUCCUUGACCAGGGUGCCCAGAAGCCUGUCUCUAAAAUGAUUAUAGCUCCAACUAGACAGCCUUAUCCAUCACAGGUUCAUGGCACACACAGACGGUGACAAAUGUUGCCUGUCUGGCACGUCUGUUUUGUUAACCUUCUUGAGCUUUUCUUUUAAGUAACUCAUGAAAAUGAGAUUAUAAUGUUCAGUGUAUAGAUUUCGUUCUCACAAAGAAUAAUGUAAAGCUACAAUAGGACUUAUCUAAAAGUAAUGUCAUCUUAUUGAUAUAGAAUAUUGGAAAUAAGCAAUGUUCAAUUACUACGUUUAGAGCUUAGCAGGACAGCUGCAAAGGGUGGCCACGGGAUGAGGAGACAGCAGAUUACACAGAAGCUUAUGGAAGUUACAAGUGGCAUCUUUACUGAAUUGUCUUUGCUUCUUGUUUAAAAGCUUAAUGUUGUAAUUACUAUGAUAGCCUCUCUCAUGAUGCUACCUUUGUUUGUUUCUUUUAAAAUGGCUUCUUCCUCAUUAGUUUUAGCCAGGCUGGCCUUGAACUCAGAGGUCCUCUUGCCUCUGCCUCUUGAAUGCUAGGACUGAACUGAUUCAAUUAAAUUAAAGGUAUGUACCAUAUGCCCUACAUAUUAUAAUAUUUUAAGUGUGCUAUCUCCUGGAAGUUAAAGAUUCGAUGAAAUAGUGUUGCUGAUAUGAGAACACUUACUUGUUUUCAACUUUCUGGAAAGCUGCAUAGAAAUUUUGAAGGUUUCAAGUUGAAUUAGCAAGACUAGAGAAGGAAGAGCAGUAGCCAAGUGUCCCAGGCUUGAUUCAGAGUGAAGCCUUAUUGUCCUAGGCAUACCUAUAGGUUACUUCCUUGAAAGGAAAACAACCAAAACCAAAACAAAACCAAAUAAACAAAAAAGAUGUACUAAGUCGCAAAACUAUGGAAAAGUGCCUUCAGGAUCCUUCCAAGUGGGGAAAAUAUGUCAUGAUCAAGGUUGUUCUGAAAACCAGCAUGACUGUGACAGAAUCUCACAGUUCCUAUUGGUUAGUAUUAAUUAACAAAUAGCAACAAUUACCUUAAAUCUGUUAGGACAAUCGCCUUCAUUGGGUUGCUAUUUGGGGUAACCCAUUCCUCUGAAUUUUAGAGACUUAGACUAAGACGAAUGAGACGAACCCCAAGAUAGAAAAGAGAGCUGUAGCUUGUGUGUCUCUGGUUUCUCAGAGCAACUCCUCAUUCUCCUUUUGGUUAAGAUUGUUACAGGUGGUCAUCAAUUAUUUCAGUGGGUCUCAGCUUCUCUCUUCUCUUUCAAAGAGAUCACAGAGGCUAGUAGGUUGUGACUGGGUGCAAGAGUGCACUGCUAGGCAUCACACCCUUCACAAGUCACAAAAGCCAAUAAUGAUUACUGUGGUGGAUUUUUAAACGUUGACUCUCCAGCAGUUAAGAAUGUGGGCACAGCUGGAGAGGAGAGACUAAUAGUACUAGACAUUUAUAAUGCUCCUACCAGUUCAGGGACCAGCCUGCUCCUACUUAAAGGGAAUUUGAGGGGAGUUUGCUGGUCUGGGUGAGAUCCUGCGAUACUCAGUGGUAUGCUGUUUCCCCCAGGUCCAGUCUCCCCUCUCACCAAUCCCAGGCCCCUGAAACACAGCACCAAGGCACCAAGGACCAAGAAACUCAGCUUGCAGGAGGCUUCUUGCAGGUGGCCCGCCACCGCCACCGCCACCGCCACCUCCACCUUGCCAACCCGCAUUUAGUUGCCGCUCCAAGAGGCUUAGAAGACGUCACGAGUGACGCCCAGGGCCCUUCACCCUUCCUGCAACCUCGGACGUUGCUGGCGCCGUGGGCGCUGCGGGGUGUUCGGGCUACCGCGGGUUGGAGGGACCAGAGAAGGCGGAACUUAGUAAAGGGAGGGGGCCGCCACCAGCACCUAGGCGGCUGCUGUGGAGGCUCCCCCCCCCCCCCCCGACCUGGGGGAAGUGAUGCUGUGCUACAAGGCUGUCAGGAGUAGUGAGCCGGAGCUGGUGAGCAGGACCGCCCGGCAGGAGGGUAGAUCUAGUUGUGUUGAGACUCCAGCUCCCAGCGUAUGGCCAAGAGAGGGAGAGAGCGCGCGCAGCAGAGGCUGAUGUGUGUGUGCGCGCGUGAGUGUGCGUGUGUGUGUGUGUGUGUGUGCCUGUCUACAGGUAGCAGCGGCAGCGGCGGGGACGCGAGCAGGGGACCCAUCUGGAGCUACCGCUCCGCCUAGGAUUUUCUGUGGCGAUUGCUCAUUUGGCUGACGGAUCCGUGGUUCCCAGAAAAACCUCAUCUUCUCCGUUUCUACUCUCCUUUAGGCGUCUCCAGUUUCAAGUGUGUGUUUAGGGAUAAUUUCAUAUUUUUCUUUUUCUUCCUCUUCCUCCAAAGCUUCUCAGGAAUUCUGGCACGAAAUCCUUGGAUACAUUUGCUCUGCCAAGUUUUGCUGCUCCAGCCCCCUCCCUCCUCCAGAGGCUUCUGGGGUGCUCUUCUUUUGGAUUUACAUGCAAAGAACCUAUAUAUGUUUAUAUAUCGGUCGGGUAGCUUAUGAUACAUUUACGUGCGUCUCAAAGCUUGGUUUUCAUCUUCUUCUCCUCAACACAGCGAAAUGUUCCAGAGCUGAUGAGCACAGAGACCAUUAUUCACAUUCUUUUGAUCCUGGUUUGGAACAAGGGGAGGGAGAGUGAAGAACUGUUUAACGUUCUGCCAUCCUUAGGCUGAACGCUAGGCACCAAGAAGUAUUUCUGGUUGCAGAGCAGGUACAACGGGGGCUUAGAGAGAAGGUAAGGGGGCCUCUUGAGUCUACUAGGCAUGGCAUUUACCUCAGUCCUAGGGACUGCUGAUAACUUCCUGCUGGCUUCUACCUGCCCUCACCUUUUCCACCAACCCUACCCCAUCCCUGUUCUCUACCUUGCUCCACCCUUUUCCAAAAUCCCCGGGGCCCAGGAGGAGGGAUCGGGUGCUGGGGAGGGUGACUGUGUUAAAGAUGUGAUAGUCCAUUACAGUUUAAAUGUGUCUUGUAUUCCCCCACUUGAUUGAGUUUCCCAGUACCUGCCUCUGUCUUUUAGCGGUUUAAAAUACAUUUUGUCCUUUAUACAACAACAGUAACAAAAACAACAACAACAACAACUACAACAAAAUGCUAUGUCGAUCAGAUCAAUGUUUUAAACACAUCUUGGUGUUAAGUCUCCACUACUAUCUUCUGAUGAAAAUAAAAACAAUAAAAAUUAAUGAACUUUAAUGAGCUGGGUGGUUUCUUCAAUACUAGGUUUCAUAGAAUCUCCAAAAUGCAGAUAAACAGCAAGGAGGACAGUGGGCUUCAGCUCCUGUAAAUUCCAGUUGUGUCACAGGGAGGGCAAAUCCCCAGAGUUGAGAGAGAGGGAGCUAAGUCUAGCAUAAGAAGACCUACGCGGCCAGCGAGUUUUUUAAAACCCACCUUUUACACUGCAUCCAGUCCUCGAUUAACUCCUGCUCUGGGGAUGCGUUAACCGAACAGACCUUUUGAUGGAGAAGUGGGCUCUUCUCUCUGUUCCUGGUCUUCAGCCAGCCUCCUUCCUCCCCCUCUGCCUGUCUGGCCCUGGCACUUUGCAAAUCGCCGGUUUUGCGCACCCUCGCGGUGGGCGUUCUCCACGUUGCAUCCUGCCCCCUCGGUCCUUCUUCCAGCGGGGUGGCCGAGUACAUGCAUCUUUCUCGGGGGGCUCGCUCGCACACGCCCUCUCCCGCAGCCCGCGACUCCCCACCUGCCCCGGCUCGCCUUAGCCUCUCUUCUCCUUCGGGUGCAUCCCUGACCCUGGCAUCCCUUCAUCCCGGCCUGCUAGGGUUCGGAGCGUCGGGACGCGGCUGUGGCGGCGGUGCGGAGCUGGUGUGGGAAGCCAAGGCAGGAAAGGCGAACCCGAGUGGGUGGUGAGAGGCCAACCGAGUCCGUGGGAGCCAGGGAAGCCGAGAGGAGUGAGACACUGAGUGUGCGCUGCGCGCUGCCCUGGUCGGGGCGGACUCGUGCGGAGGCUCCUAGUCUUCCGAGCGGCGCCCCAGCCUCUGCAGUGAGCCUGCUUGGGUGCGCCUUGGGACCCAGGCACCCAGAUCCCGGAGGUCGGCGGAGAGGUACCCGAGAAAGGCAGUGAUUCUGAGAGUCCGCGGAGGGGAGACGCGGAGGCUGAGCGGAUGGAGGAACAAUGCCGCCUCCAGAAGCAAAGCCUUUCUUGAGCCUUGGCUGGAGUGUGGAGUCGGCUCUCUGCUCUGCUCUCUCCAGGCCUUGAGGCUACUUCUGGGCUUGGUUCCGCCUCUUAGUUUGACAGGAAUUAGAAAGUUGCUCUUCUUCUCUACAAGGUUUCCUUUGAAGUGGCUUUCCGAUCUGCGUGCUGGUUCAAGUCAAGAUGUCACUUUCUGGAUCCCCCGCGAGGAGCGACUAAUAGAUUAUGCAUUGUUGGGCAAUAAACUCUCCUGGGAAGAGAGGGUAGUCCACCCCAAGGUUUAAACGGUUCGCCACUGACUCCUGCCAGCCUCAGCACAAUGCCUUAAAUGACAAAGAGACUGUAUUGCCCUUGGAAUGAGGUUCCUACAGCAUAAGAAAGAAAGGUGCUGAGCACAUUCAGGG